rnacentral:lncRNA from 1 species
UUUCUUUUGUGUGUGUUGUUUGACCUUUGCUAGGCUCGAGUCCCCGUACUCCUUAGCAUUUGCUGUCUGUUUGUGUGCGUUUGACAGUUAUAGGCUGAGUCCCCGACUCCCUAUCUAUCUGUUGUGUUGUUUAGGUUCGGAUGUCAAUGUAAGUCCAGUGAUUGGCAUUUGGGCUCCACGUUUGCCUCUUUGCGUGUGUUUAGGUUCGGAUGCUGACAUAAGUCCAGUGAUUGGCAGUCGGGCUCCACGUUUGCCUGUCUUUUGUUUGUUUGUGUGCGUGUCAGCCGAGCUACGAAUGCUCUGAUUCUUCUCUCGUCCGAGAAGAUACGUAUGCAUAGGAUGCGA